GCGGUAGUGGUGAAGUGGUUAACACACUGGUUUUGUGGAUUCCAGCAUGCGAGGGUUCGAUCCCCUUCUACCGCCCUA
rnacentral:tRNA from 1 species